UUUGGGAAUCAGGAUUUUAAAUAUAUAUAUAUAUAUAUAUAUAUAGGUAGAAUCAUUUCUUACCCUGUUCAUUUCUUAAAAGAUCUCAACACUCGAAUGCUGAACACAUAAAAUUCCAAUUAAAUUAAAUUAUUAUUUUCCAUUCUGUUUACAAAGGUCAUGAACCACUGGGGAAGAAACAGCGCCAUCAAGAGUGAAGUUUUCAGCAGCAGUUACCAAUGUGGGCAAAGCAAUGACAAACAAACAAUUUAAAGUUUUCAAAAUGUUGGUCGAGGGUUAAAAGCAAUAUGCUGGCAGGGAAAGUGACAGAAAAAAGACUUCAAAUUUCAUUGGAUUUUCUUUCCACCUACAGGUAUAUAUCAGCUAAUUUCUAUUUAAACAAUAAUAAUAAUAGAAAGCAGCUUGCUUUCAAGCUCCUUGUGCAAGAAAAAUCUAAGGAAAGAACAGGAACUUGUAUACUAGGAUUCGUAAACAUGGCUUCAAGAUCACCAACCGAAACACUACUAGUCCAAUUAAAUGAUAAGGGUGAUCGACUUCACAUAAUCAUUUUCUCUACUCCAUGGUAAUAGGGUCCCCUGUUGCAGAGCAUGAUUGUAGUAGUUUGUGAGAAGGUGGUUAACAAUAAGGCUUGCUGUUGAGGUUAGAGUGGAUUCAAACAUACGAGAGACGCAUGGUCAACUCCUUGAAAUCUGCAUACAGCAUUCCUUUUGAAGGUUGAGGAAGUCCAGGGCUGGUUGUAGAUUAUUAAUACAAUGAAUACUGGCUAUUUCACAAAAUGUUUUUCUGUCAACAAGCUGCUCAUUCUUCAAACAUUUGUUGCCAACUG
rnacentral:lncRNA from 1 species